CUCUCUUAUAGUUUCUCUUAUUAUUCUUUCACCUUUUGUAAACUACAUCUCAAAUAUCUAUCCUUAAUUUAAUUUUUUUGUAAUUGUCCGCCUCGAUUAGCUUUUGCUACCUGCGGACAGAUUGUUAUUGUAAAUAUUUAUAGCUAUAAUAAAAUUGUUGUUGUUGUUGUUGUUGUUGUUGUUGUAGAGUCUAAUUUUCGUAGCAGAAUUUUGUUUAACUUGCUUGCUUCAUAUUUUCUUUUCUUAUGUCAAAAGGAUCAUUAUGCAUUACAGUUUUGAAAUAACAAGUCCAUAUAUGCUUUAUAACGUGAUUUUUUCUUUGCCCGGCCUUUGUCGUUUGACGUAUGAACGCGAAGCUUAAACUCUCUAUUGUAUAAAGAUACGUAAACGUCACACAAUGCCUGUACUACAAAUUACCUUACAAUUUCUCAAUGAGUGAUUCAAUCGGACACCGUCGGUUGUGAGUAUGCUGAUAUAAGAAAUGAAAGAG